rnacentral:misc_RNA from 1 species
GCAAACUUGGUCAUUUAGAGGAAGUAAAAGUCGUAACAAGGUUUCCGUAGGUGAACCUGCGGAAGGAUCAUUGAUAAGUGUUUGGGAGAGAGAAUUCUCUGUUUCCCAUUAACCAUGUGAAUUACGCGCUCUGUGGAUGGGUUCACACUCUCCAUGGGAGCGUGGGGAGAUAAACGAGAAAAAUGUAUUUGAAAAAUGAUAAAAAAAACUUUUAACAAUGGAUCUCUUGGCUCUUGCAUCGAUGAAGAACGCAGC